rnacentral:ncRNA from 1 species
GUCGAUGUUUACACCAAUCUAAAUACUCCAUAUGAUUUGCUAACUUGUCCAAGGAUUUUCGAAUAUGGCGAUCUUUCGAAUUAUUGUUGAAUCCAUUGGCAGAUAAGAGAUGACCUGGUGAACCAAAACAUCUUAGUACGUAACCAAAGGAAGAGAAAGCAAAAGUGAUUCCUGUAGUAGCGUCGGCGAGCAAAAUGGGAGUGGUCUAAACUAUGAAAACGGGAUUGUGGUAAGCACUACAAGCGUCACGCUUCUAGGUGAAGUAGCUCGAAUGUUGCUCCCUAGAUACCGAAAGUCUAGUAGCUGAAAGCAUCAUAUUCUGACCGGAGUAUCAUGGAACGAGCUCUCGCUAUGCUCGAAACAAGCAAAACAAAGGAC